GUUAAUGUAGCUUAAACAACAAAGCAAGGCACUGAAAAUGCCUAGAUGAGUAU
rnacentral:tRNA from 1 species